rnacentral:lncRNA from 1 species
UUUUUUGUUGUUUGUUUGCAGUUUAUCAAAUUCGCAAAGCUUGGGCUGGUAUGGCACCAUGACUGGGUGUGGCAGCAACACUUACACAGUCACUCCCCACCUGAAUGGACCUGUGACAGAUACGGCUCCUUUGCUUUUUACUUGUAGUAAUUUAGAUAUGAGUAAUCACCAUAGCUUAUAUGUAACACCACAAAACUGAUAGCAUUACCAAGUUGUGAUUCUUGAAUUGUUUUUCAUGAAUAUGUAUAUUUGACGUGUUUAAAUUCCAUCUACAUGAACAUUCCAUUAUCUGUUGCAACUGAAAACAAAAUCUGGAAACCUGGCUGUGUUUGGUGGAGAACACAAGCUGUUACUUUUGACCUCUGCUUAGUAAAAUUAAGUAAAAUGGAAAGUUUGGAGUAGGAGAAAAGAUAAAUUAGAUUUUUAAGGCCUCCAAACAUCCUGAUUUUGGAACACCAACUGCAUAUUAGCAUAUUUGCACUUUUAUCUCUGUUCUGAAAGAGUACACUGCAGUCCCCAAUGUCAUACUCCAGUGUUCACACUGGAAUAUUAUGUACACCAAAUUGGAAGGCACGUUUUCUACGAAAAUCAAAGCCUAUAUAUUUUGUGGUGUACUCUGUGGAAUCUUUACCCGAUUACAAUUUUAUGGUGUGAACAGUGCACAGUUUAGGCAUAAAAAUGCAUCAUUCAUUUUAAAAUCCACUAAAUAUAUGUAAUCAUUGAAGACAGUUCUUUUAAGCAUGAACUUAAAAUACCAAUUGAGAUUAUUCAAACAAUCAUUUUAAACAACUAAUAGUAUAAUCCUUUACAGUAAUGACCAGCAAUGUUGUUUGGAAAGCCACAGUAAUUUCUUCAAGAAGAAAAUAUACCAGUGAAAAUUGUGUGGCUAUUUUGAGUAGAAUUGGUCGAGUGAUUAUUUUGUACAAUUAAGAUAUAUAUGUAGUAGUUUAAGCAUGAUUCUUCAAGAAAGCAAUAGUGAUUUUUGCAUAGGGAGAUUUUGGUAGAAACUUCUUGGGACUAAACAAGUUUACAGAUGCAUUUAAGAAUUGUUCAUAAAAUAUGCAUUCUAAAACAAAUGUUUUCAAAAGCAUCUGAUCUAAAACAAAAUAGCUGAUCUUACCUAUUGAAUCAGGAUUGUCCUCAGGUAAAUUCAAUCAUGAUACAUUAUUGCAGUGAACUUAAGUGCAAUACUUUGUAAGACAUAUAAUUCCUUCUUUAGUUUUUACAUUUUUAUACAUUGUAUAUGGUUUAAAAACUAAAUUGAAUUCAAAUUAAUUUCAGUACUAUACUAAAUGAGCAAACUUAACAUAAAAGUAUGAAUUAAGUAUGUAUAAAACCAGAGGUUAACAAUAUUUGAAUAUUUUAGAAUUACAUUAAAACUGUAUUGAAUGACCAACCCCAAGUCUAAAAAAUAUUACAUAUGGUAGGCUAAGACAAUACAGAAUUUUAAAAUGCACUUUCUACCAGUGUCUAUAUGGAAAGUAGAUGCUGAAUACCUCAAGAAGCCAAGGGAACAGACAACAGGGAAGUUGUUACAACAUGCUUAAAGAUGAUCAUAUACAAUUGUCUUCUGAUCUUUUUCUUGGAAUUGGAACUAAUACAACUGUCCUUUUUCUUCUUCUUUGAUUAGAACAUUGUUUUAUUUCUACUCCUAUUUAAAAUAUCUUUCAGCUUUUUAAUAACUGAUAUAGUGACUUCACAAAAGUUUAACAGUAGGUAAAACUCUUAAGGAAAAAUUAAAUUGUUAAUACUUUUUAUCUUUUGGGAGACUAGUACAAAGCCAAACAAAUUUCCUCUUUUUAUGAUACAAAGGACUUUAAAUUCAGUAGGUGUGCUGCCAAAUCAAGCAUGAAAGGACUUUAAAUUCAACUGGAUGCAUACUAAUAAAUGUUACUUGGUAUUUGUUUAUAAAUUCUCUUAUACUCAAAUUAUUUAAAAUUUUAUAGUAAAAAAGUUAACCUUGGUAUUAAGAUGACAACAAAAUAGUAUAUUUUUACCACAUCCUCAGUUCCUAGAUUUCAGAAUGUCAACUAUUUAUUUUGCUGAUCUAAAUAUCUACAGCUAUCUGAAAAGAUCUGUGUUGUCUUUGUUAAGCCUCAAGUUCAAGGUGAUAAAAUAAUUUUUUUCCUAUAUCAAAGUUCCUAUUUGACCAGGUAAACAAUGAUUAGUUUAAUUUUUUCUCAAAUAAAAUAUAUUUGGUUCUUUUAGCUGCAUUAGUUGAUUAUAUCAAAUUUGAAAUUUAUAAGUUUAUCCUGUUAUCACAGACUAGGAUACCUAAAUUCUUGCAUUUGUCUCCUGAUACACAUCUCCUACAAUAUAUCACCAAAGACGAAGAAAGAUCUGGCCCAAUUUUUGCUUAAAAAUUCCAAAGCACUAGGAGCACUUUAAGUUUGGUCUCGAAAGAAGGAGUUGUUUAUAAAAUCAAAGGGCUACCGAUUCCCUGUUCAUCUUGCACUGAAGCACAUAAUGACAAUUUCAAACCUUUCUUUUGUAUUCAUUAAUUAGAAAAGUGAAUUUCAUUGCUUAAAUAUGUAAUUCUACAGUGACUAGCAAUAUUUGUUAUCAUUUCAUUUGGAUGGUCAUUAAUUUUGAAUCUCUUCACACUCAUUGUAGCUGGUUGUAGUUUUAUGGAAGAUGUAAUUUAUAGCUAAAGUGGCUUUUUUAUGCAUAGCUGCCUUUUUUAUUGUUUAACAGUGUUUCUCAGCUAUAUAAUCAGUUUCAAACUGGUUAUAAAAAUAUAGCUGUGGCCAAUGAAUGUAUUGAUUUGUCAUUUCACUAAAUUGUAA